UACGUAGGGUGCAAGCGUUGUCCGGAAUUAUUGGGCGUAAAGAGCGUGUAGGCGGCCCGAUUAGUCCGCUGUGAAAGUCCAGGGCUCAACCCUGGAAUGCCGGUGGAUACUGUCGGGCUAGAGUCCGGAAGGGGCGAGUGGAAUUCCUGGUGUAGCGGUGAAAUGCGCAGAUAUCAGGAGGAACACCAGCGGCGAAGGCGGCGCUCUGGGCCGGAACUGACGCUGAGGAGCGAAAGCGUGGGUAGCAAACAGG
rnacentral:rRNA from 1 species